AAAAGCUUUCAUCAUAUUUGAAACACGGGGAAUAAUUUCAAUUUCUCGAAGGUAAAUACUUUUGACGCUAUAUCAGAGCCACGUAGACAAACUUUGCACGAAUAUUUUCAUUUUAUGAUAUUUGGAACAUCCAUGUAGGAAUAUUUGUUGCGCGCGUUAUAAACGGACUACGGUACGAGAAUAAUUAACAAAAUUUCGAGAUAAUUUAAUAACGCAUUUGAAACAACGGAAUAAGAAAGUAAAUGUGUACGUGAAAUUUAAACCUCGUGCUUCGUCUUUUUUUUUCAAGUUAUAUACAAGUUAUAUACUUCGAGCUCGAUGAACUCAGGGUUCUGAAAAAUUAAACUUUGAUAGUCUUCGAUAAUCGCCACUUGAUAAAUUAUAAUAUAUUCGAAGCAUGGUCCUCGAAUCGAUCUUAUUUAACAUCUAAAUAAACGUUUUCCUUCGAUUUAUGCAAAACUUUAAAGAAACCUGCGGUCUAAUGCGUCUCCUUCGAAUUCACGCAUCGUCUUUGUUAAGUCACGAAGGUGCAGCAGCACAUUUCCAUUCUUAUUACAUUUUGCAAUUUCUCGUCCCCAUAAUUAAAUGUCUUCCUGCGCAUCAAGAUCAAGACGUUCGUUUCAAGCUUGGCACGGCACUUAGGCGCUUCCCUGCAUCUGACAUCGACCUGCUUACACAUUACACGUACUCUCCAUCUCGCUCUUCCGUCACUCGCGCGCUUGCUCCGCUAAUUAUCACAUUGAAAAUUGCUUAGAACAAUUUCCAGUUUCGUCUUUUUUAAUUAAUUUGCGAAUUUGCACCGAAUCGUUGCGCAUUCAUACACUCUGCUACGUUUUGGAAGCUUCCAAGGCUUGUUAACUUUGAUCAAGGUCGAUUCUUACGUUCGCUGGAAUUUUUAUUUAACCAUUACGUUUUCGAACGAAUUUUACUUUUUUCUUUGGGUAGUCGGUUAAUGUAAUUCUUAAAAGAGGUAAAUGGAAAGGUAAAAUUAAAUGGAAAUACACGUAACAUGUCACAUAUUUAUAUGUAUACUUGCGUAUAUAGAAAUAGACGAUUCAACAAUCAAACAUUUUAAAUGAACUUCUCUUUUAUCGCUGUAGGAGGUUUCGUAUCGGCAAGGAAACGACAAAUAUUGCGCAAUGGUGCGCUAACGACUCGCGAUUACAUCGAUCUUAAACCCACUGUUGUCUCGUGGCGACUGUAAAUCCUUGAUCGAUCCCUCUGUAUUACACGCGUUUAUCGCACCUAACUUUUGAAUAAAGUUUUAUCGUUAAAUGGCCCAUAUUUAUAUGUACAACGUCGUUCGCUUAAUUACAUUCGUAGAAUACACUGACAAAGUUUAGUCGUUAAACCCUGAGACACUCCGUAUAUCUAAUCACAGAGUUUGCUGUUCGAGAGCAGAAUGCGACAAUCCGUGCAGGAUAGUCCGCGCGGAUUAACUUUUUUUCAGGAACGAAUUAACGGCAGAAGCGUUUCUGCAGAAUCUGAUUAUCUUAUUUUCAGCCGCUAAAUAACGUCGAACGAGAAAAUAGACGUUAUCCAUCUUUCCUUUUUUUCGAGUAACUCCAAAUUGAAAAAAUAAAAUUGUCUUUCUACGUGCUGUAGUCGCCGAGAUAGCGUGACUUUUUCCAUUAGUUACGAUUUCCUCGCGGUCUCCGACCAUUCUCCGACCGUCCGCUGCGAAACAGGUACAACGCUUUAUAAAAGUUUUUCCAUUCUUUCCGCACGUUCAAUCCAUACGACAUACGAAAAAUCUACAUACACGUAAUGCGAGUAACGAGUAGCAAAACGAUUGCCUGUCGCAUCUCGGAUUUUUCGGACGCGAUUGAUCCUAUCGAGAAUUCGAUGGAAACAAAUUCCAUUACGAUGAAAAGUUGUAAGAUGAGAAACGCGAAAGCUGUUGUUGCAUCUUACAACUAAGCAAAAACGAUUAUCGCUGUAUUUUAGUCAAGCGCGAUUGAACGAAAGAUUUUUUCACUCGACUGUCGAAAUAUAGGUCUGCCGGGAAGCGUACAUGCAAUGCGAGAUUUGGCACGCUCUUCCCAUACGACUAGCACUUACCUAAAGUUACCGACGAUUUAAGAAAACCGGGCUCCAUCUCGCUUUUUACCUUUUUUAAAUUUUCAUUAGCUACGAUUUCCUACUGAAAGUUUUUCACCUAUGACGGAUAGUUUCUAAGAGAUAUAAAGCGAAAUGCAAAAAAGAGUUGCGUUUUAAUCGAUAUUUUGCUUACGACGCGACGGAGGAAAAUUGUUUCAAAGUCUUGUUAUAUACGCUUAUUUUAUUUUAAAUAUCGCUUCUUUUUUUCAGGCUUAACUCGAUCGGAUUAAGAACAAAGCGCGUAUCUCGAGUGGGUGCCAGUAACUAAUAAGCCGGUAAUUUCGAGCGAACGUGUAAAAAAAAUUUCCGAAGCGAUUAUACGCGACCGAGGUGAAAACUAACAACAACCGGCCUUGUUCGUAAUGUUCGGCAUUCAAUUUUGAGGGGUAAGCCGGGCAAUUCGUUGAUUCGAGAGAAGAUGCAAAUGCGGCUUGUACACCGAGAGCGUUCACGGAUUAAUCAGAUACUCGUUGUGCCUUUUUUUUUACGAUCUCGCGAUAUGGAAAAUGCGAUGCACGUACGUAUUCGAGAUCUGCACAUGACAAGCGUUUCAAACGCACAUAUGCAGAUAUCGAGCGAGCCGACGCGCCGCGUCAACACAAGCAGAGAAAGAAGGGAACGAGAAAGAGAGAGAGAACGACGCUUGAAAAUACUCGUUGCUAGCCAAAAGAUCUUUCCCCGUUUUUCUUGUCUUAAACUGCAUUAAAUAGUACGCAUAAAUAAAUUACUUUGGACGAUCCGUUUUUUAAACGACAGCCUUAUUGUCGGUGGAAAAUUUAUUUAUCGCGAGCCACGAGAUUCGAAAUGGAUAAAACGAACGAACGUUUUAUAAUAUCGUUAUGUAAGCAAUUUUGACGCAUAUACUUUAAUACGCGAUCGUACUAUUUGGUUCGGCGUUGGCGAUGCGAUAAAUAUUCCUCGAUAAAGCGACUUUGAUAACGUAUACGUAUUUAUCUUAUAAUUAUCGUAAGGAUAGAGCGAAGCUGGCGUCGUCAACACGCGCACCUAUACAUAUUCAUGUGAAUAAUUAUUUGACAGACUCGUAGCUUGAUGCACACGGACAGCGAUGCUUGCUCACGUACCCGUAAGGCUCGUGUGCUUUGAACAGAGUUACCGUAUCAGAAGUCUGACAUAACGCAAUUUGUUCUACUUGGCUGCCGAACACGCCUUCCGUUCGAACCAAGUAACAUUAUAUUUCUUAUUUCACCUUCGCCGGAAACUUUUUCUUACUUUCUCGUCCGUUUUUACAUCAUAGUACAAUUAUAGUCGAUAUAGUCGAUUUGAACUUUCACUAACGAAACAUGUUAUCGCGCGGAUGAAUUGGACGAUUUCGUUUUUUAUACUUUUAAGAACGAUCGCUUCGAACCAUUUCACUCGUCGAAUUUUCUCCAAUUUUUCCCGUGCUUGCGUCGUAAUUUAGUUUGCGUUCCGAUUCCAACCUAGAACGUUCGUUUCGUUUAUUCGUCUUGUCUAAACUGAGCCAACCGGGAUACUUGCAAAUAGUUUAGCAUUACAAUUUUUAUGAUUUUGAUAAAUGUCGCUUUAAGAUUUCUGAUUUUGCAAGCCAUCGACUAUUUUGUUAAAACACGUGCAUGUAAACUGGAAAUGUUUUGGUCGCGUUUUGCAAUCGCACCUUCGCGUAGAACGCGGCAAAAUAUAAUAAAAAUGAAAAAUAAGCGUGUCGUUUAUUUUAUUUACGCAAACAGCCAGCCUUUUUGGGGAUGUUAUCUAUUUAUAAAAAACAUGUUAGGAUAUUUAGCUUAUAAACGUUAGUAUAAUUCGGAAAACAACCGUUUAUCUUGAAAUAUUUUCAUUUACCUUCAUUCGCCAUUAUUUAAACCAUACUUUUUCACGUCGUAACUCCUUCGUUCGUCACUUUUGCCGUAUUCUUAACGAGAUUCCACUUCAAGCAACCAACAACACGGUAAGCAGUUCGUUGAAACAGAAACGAAAACAGAAGCGAUCGCGUUGCUCGCAUUAUUCGAGUCUUUCGAUGAAAACAAUAAGAAUACGGGGACAUAAUGCUUUAUUUGCUGUAUUUAACGAAGUAAAAGAACUGCGACGUAUAGGGAAAUUCCAGAAAUUCGUUUCGUGUUUCUGUCUGUAAAAGAGAUACCUCGGCUCUGCCUUUUGGAGUUGUUGUUUUAAUCGAUCAACUACGAGAUACGUACGAAUACUCGGUGCUUCUAUUUUGUUUGCCUUUCGCAUGUCCUUCUCUCCCGUUUCUAAUAUCACUUUCCUACCGUGCGUUUCGUCGCAUCCAAUAAUAUACACGCGUGUAUCGUCUCUCCUUGCGUAUGUAUAUCUUGUCAAUAACGAUAGUAGUUAAAUCAAAUACAUUCUGUUAAACCACCGUGUUAAUUUCCAACAUUGCUGUAACUUCAUUUUCAAACGUAUCGAACUUUGAUGAUAUUUAACAGAAUUUUUGAACGCCAAACCUUAUUAUAGUAUUGAUCGCACGAUAUUUGUAGUAAGAUUUAAUACGAAGAGUUAAACGCUAUAAAUAAGAACUUCCAUGCACAUAUAUAAAUAUUUGAUGGCAGAUACGUGUACGUAUUGCUACUCGUUUGCCGUUACCACAAUGUCAAUUAUACGAUUUUUACAGUAAUAUUUUACUAUACUUGAAUAUUUUAUGAGCAUCGAUCCCAUCAAGGAAAAUUUCGAACACUAGUCGUCAGGAAAAUUCAACUAACGUUUUCGCAACUAAUUUAAGUAUAAACGGUUUUCUUAUCGUUUUAACUUCCACGAAACUUUAAAGUUUAAAGUCUAGGACUUAAGGGAAUGAAUAGUUUCUGUAGGAACAACGUCUCGCUUGUUUGAAAAAUGGGUGACUUUAAAUUUCCACGCAAGGAUAUUUUAGAGUUGAACCGAACGACUAUUAAAGAUUUUAUGCAAACGCGAGGAUACAGUUCGUUUCGUCCGAAACCGUUCGAAAAUAAUUCUCGCGUUUCCCUCGUUCGUAAUAUAGAGUAAAAUUCCAGCAGAGCAGCGUUUAAACGAUUUAUUUUUCCAUGGAACACUCUGUGCAUAUAUUAUAAUACCCGACUGAAUCAGAUUUAUCUCGUUUUUUCGCUAAUGUAAGUUUACGGUUUGGCAUAUCCCGUAUCGUAACAUUUUUAUCGACGAGCAAAAUAUAAAUAUCGUUGAUAUAAUUGGUUCCGUAAAAUCCCUCUUAAAUAACGUUAUCCUUCUUAAAAAUGUUAUAUCUCGCUAACGCCGUAAUUUUCUCGCUGAAUAAAGAUUCGAAUAAAGGUGUAUUUAUAUAUACAUAUAUCUCGUUUCUUCGAGCCAGAACCGACACGAGAAUUCGAAUUUCGAUUUACUUUUUCGCAAGCAAUUGAUCGACGAUCCUUCGAUAUCAAUCCUGUACACGCAAAUUACGUAAAUUGCAAACGGUUGCUUGAUCGUGUUUGCAAACAGCAAAAUUUCAACCUGUGUCCCGGUGUAUUAGUUUUAUCGCGGUGCAUUUAUCCAGAAAAUCAAUGCCAAACUACACUGUUUUCGGUGGCAUAAUCGAGAACACGAUUUGAAAUACGCUUGUUAUACGUGCAUCUUAAUGCUCGUAGAUACACGUAGCUGCGUCGCAUCGGCGGAUAUACCAAGGUCGUACAAUCAAUCGAGCCGAAAACUACGAAUGUUUCGGUCGUCGAAACAUCAACUUGAGGCGUCGAGGGGUGAAACAAAGAAUUCAAGCGUCCUUCAGACGUAAGAUAUCUUUCAAACAAGUUCUUUCAAGUACGAUAUUAAAGAUAUUGUACAGAAUUUAGCGAUCAUCGAAAAGUUUCAUUUUUCAUGCUUUAGAGCGUGUUAGAGCAAAGUUUGAUCUUUAACACCGAUGGCGUAAGUACAGAUAUUUUCGAAAGUAUGCAGUUUUCGCGACAUUUUUCAAUGAUCCUACGUACUUCCCUAGCGAAGGUUACGCAGAAUUUAAAAGCAUUUGACUUUAUUCUUUGGCUCAAACCGUGGAACCACGACGAUCUACGCAAACGCGUGGCAGACGUGUACAUAGUUGGAAAAAUUUCAAUGUAACGCCUUUGAUUAUCUUAAUUGAGUAUCCUUGAAUUUUCUUCGAUAUCUUUGUAUUUCAAGUAUAGAAAAAUAUUCGUUGACCUUUUGUAUCGUUUGUCAAUAUUUUCGUUAUAUUCGGAGCACACGGUUGAUUCUAUAUGAUCCUAUAGAUAAAGGCCAAGGUAAAAUUCGGUCGUGUGCACGUGCUCGGUAGUUUCUCGCAACCAAUUUUCUAAAAAAACGAAAUUCCCAGUAAAAGAACCUCGCUUUAUGUUUUCGAUUUAUUUUUGUUCGAGAAUCGAUCUAUACAGCUAUAACAAAAAAAAAAAAAACGUUUGUUUCGUAUGUAUUUCAAUGUAGUACACGUGCUAUCGACUACGCCUUAUUAUAAUUAAGAUUCUAUUUAGAAUUUAUCAAUACGAUCUAUGUAUAAUCGGACUUGUUAAAGUCAUUUAUUAUAAAGUCGGAUUUACUUUAUUUAACGCGAUUCGAUUUGAACGAACCGUUCGGUAUAGAAUUACCAAGUUAAGUAGGAUACUAAGUAAAUAAUUAAUAUUUUAUUGACUAUUUCCAAUGUACUUCCCCUGCAGUUGCUUAUCGUGCCAACAACUUAUGCAUAAUUUAUAUCUUCGUCCUACUUAUGCAUAAAGUAGAAGCAUCGAAUGCAGGCAACGUAAAUCCCAGCUAUUGCUCCGCCGCGGCGUCGAACGAAGCGCAUUGGACGUAAUCGAAUGAAAAUUUAAGCUGACGUUUCAAGUACUUUCAUUCUGCGUCGGAAAUUAUUUCGAGAGGACCGACGAUGAUUUCUCUUUUGGCAAUAUUUUCAAAGAGCCGCGUUUUCAGGCUCGAAACCUCAAGCGUCGCGAUUCUUUUAAUCUCGCGAGGAGAACGCGGCCAGAAGUGGAGGUACGCUUUUUAAAUGAAUUAUCUCGGGAUUUUAAAUUCAUCGAGCUAUUUGAAAAGAGAACACGACCCGUCUCUCCUUCCCCGAUCGAAAUGAAUCGGUCGAAAGAAAUUAUUACGUUCGCGAAAAAACGUCCAAAGGUGACGUAUAUUCGAGUUUCCGAUACAAAAUACAACGAGUACACGAGGAAUACGAACGAAAGAAUCGAACAACUAUUUUUGGCGCGUUCCUAGCUCAUUCGGAUGUGAACACGAAUCGUGAAACGGCAAACGAACGCUCUUUCGUGCUUUCGUUCCACCAAAUUUCACUAAAAUGGGGCGAGACGGCUCUAGAGCAGCUCGAAUCGACGUAUACCAUCGAUUUAUGGGCAAUUUCAAGAAACAGGCAACUUCAACUUGAGUAGCUGAAAGUCGGAUGCGUGGAACGUCGAAUAUCGUAGCUAAGAGAUUAGAAAGGUGGCAGUUGCGAGUCAAUGGAAAGUCUAGGUCCGAGAGGAAGCUGUCCUCGAAUUGCUUCUAUCCCUUGUCGAGACUUUACGACACAUCUGUCGUUUACCGAGGGUGUAGAUAACGAGUCUCGCCAGGUCGUGUCGUAAAAUGAAACGGCACGCCAAAUCGAACCAUUGAUCGCGUCAAUUUCGAAAAAAUCUAUGGUAUCUUCAAAAGGACAUAUUAACCCGUAGAGCUUGUAAAGCCAACAGGUGUAGCGGAAUUUGCAAUUAACUUUCCAAUCACAUCUAAACUAACUCGAGCCUCUUUGGAAAAAACACGAUCGACGGAUCUACGGGCUUUAUGGCUCUGCUACCUACGCGCCAUAAGCCAAACUAAUCCAUAGAUACUUUAAAUUCGCGUCUCCUUUCCAAUGAAAAUCGUCAACCUACCGAUAAAUAAAUCCGUCAACCGGUCAACGAAUCCUAAAACUAAGAAAUAUAUUUUUCUCGCAGUACGUUUAACGAUUUUACGAUGAUUGUCAUUUUCAUCGGCGUAACGCGUUUUAUCUAAUCGAUGGCACAGCUAAUUUGAAUCAUAAUUGGAUUGGCCCCGAAUAACGGCAAGGAAAAAUCAAAAGGAAUUAAUUUACAGCGAUAAUUAUAGGAAGAAUCGUCGUCGUUGGCAUUCGCAAAUAUAUACAUACAGCUGUUUAAUUGGAUUAACCAGUUUAAUGGGUAAAACUAGUUUCAAUAAAUCCAGUCGGUAGUUUAGAUAUUGGAAGAUCAAGGACGAAGUGGUCCAUAUCAAACUUGGCUUUCGCAAUGUAACCAAAAGUUUCAGUGCGAAACUCUAAGUAGCAAGUAAUUUAUCAGCAACGUACGUGGAACAGCUUACGCCACACACGUAAUAAUCCAAAUUUACAUAAUAGCUAGAACCUGAGUUUUAUCGUUUGCGAUUGAUAAAUGCGUACUAUACAUAUAUAUAUAUAUAUACACACAGAUAGGUAUAAGGGAAACGAUGAAACAUUCUCAGAAAUUUCUCUGGCGAAAUGAAACGAUAAUACGCGCAUACACGUUGUUUUGCGUUUUAUUUCGCCGUACUUUGUGUUUUAUUUAUUUCGUACUUUCAAGUAAAUAUUACUUUCUAUUCAUUUUACUCGUAUAAAAACGUAUUAACUUUUUGAUGCUCCGGAGCGUUUCGUUGUAUUGUUACUUCGUAUAAAUUAACAUAGAAAACGCAAAGGAUACUUUCGAGGUACAAAUUUAGUUUUAAUAAAAUCGCCAGGUUAACGUUAGCGAAGCUGUUAAACGUUUUGGGAUACGAUCAGAUCGGAUCCCAUAAAUAUAGAAAUAAAUAUUUUUAGGAUUCGCCGGCUAUCGUUUUUCGCAUAGCAUUCUUUUCUCGUUUUUAGUCUUAGAACAUGCUAGCGUUUCGUGGGAAACCCUGCAGGUAUUUUACGCCGUACGAUCGUCGUGCCAAGUGCGGACGAAUUUUUCCAUUAAAGUUCAGAAAUACCUUUUGUCAUAUUCGAAUUGCUGAAAGGCAUGUGUCGAUAUCGUGGAUAGCUCAAUUUGUUAGUGCAGCAGUCCGGCAAAAGAAAACUCGGAUUCCAAUCUCAAACUUAUAUAGAUUACGUGGUCGGACUUCCUUCCUUGCAGUUUUCAAAAGUAUUACCUCGCGGUAUAUGAAACGUUUCUGCCGAGUUUUAAUUUCACCGGCUAAUACCAUUCGUUAAAUUUUAUCUUACCUUUAGCAACGUUACGAUUGCACGGCGCGGAUUACUUUCUCUUCGGGGUUGUAAAUCGUCAGUUAGAUAACCAGAUUCUUUCGCAUAGAGUCUUCUCUAAUAAUUCGCCAGUAUGUUAUUAUCGGACAACGAUCGAAAGACGAACGGAACGCUCGACUAUAUAUCGGAGAAGCAUACGCUGCCGUUUAAAAGUAUCCGGACGCUUGCUUCUCUUUGUCGAGAGACGCGAUUCGAUCACGAAUUUACGAGAAAGAAGAUUUCCAAUUAUUUCGUUGCUUGUCGCAGUUACAGCUGCGUAUGGCGUCGAUUAUCGUAACGCGAUGAAACUUAAAAACAAUAUGCGACAACCUGAUACGCGAUACAACGCCACCUGAUCGUCCGUGGUUGCGUACUUUCUUCGUCGCUUGAAAAGCUCCUUAUCCUUGGAUCGUUUAAUUUUAUAAUUUUCAAUUUCUCGCUGUUUCGUUCGGCCGCUCGAUGUUUUGUUAUUACACGUAUAAAGGAGACCCUUCUUUUGCCGAUAUAAAGGCUACCGACUCAGGUUAUCUCAAACAGGUAAAUCUAUGAAUCGUAAUUUCAUUGUAAAAAGAUACCAUUUUAAGCAGGAUUUACGUUUACCGCUUCUAGUCGUUAAUUUACCAUUAAUUUGAAAAUUCGCCAACGUUCGUUUACCGUUACCAUAAAUCUACCAAAGUGCCGGGGUAUCUGUCGGGCCGAUCGUUGAACGUUGUUUCCAACGACUGACAAUAAUUCGACUCUGACCGUUUUAGAAAAAUUGUGUACGAGUUUAGCCUGAGAAUCAUUGCGAUCCCCAAGCUUUGUAAUUAAUAUGUUUGCAAUACAUUUGCCGAUAUCGCACAUCGAACAUAGAUAGGCAAUUAGAUUUCUAAAUCGAAGAGCCCGCGAACAAACCUCGAUAACUAAUUUGGUCCUCUCCGAAACCGGUUCAAUAGCAAUCGCUGCAUUAUAAUCUGUCCGUAGAUCUAACGAUUUCGCUACACGGACCACAGCUCUCGAAUGUGGCUUUAUGUUUCGACUACGUUUCGAUUAUAAUUGUACGUCAUAAAUUACAAAUUAACCGACGACCGAUAGUUUCAUCGAAAACAGAGUCGAGUGGCACGCUGAUGCUCUUUGACCGAAUACUUGACACCAUCGAUCUGACCGAAAACCAUUCUCUCCUCGAUACAACCUUUUACUUGCUUUAAAGUCGAUAAAUCAAUGAUCAUAAAUUCAUAGAACCACGAAGAGUCAUUAAAUUAAAUAUAUAAAAUGACGUAAACUUCGUCUACGUAUAUUGCAGUAACGAAAGACUGGUUACAACGAAAAGGUAAAAAUUUUCAUUCGUUUUGCUCUAAAUACUAUAUCAAAUAUCAUCGAUCGUCGAUGACCGUGACACGACUGCGGCGAAGUUUACGGAAUGUUUCCCAAGAGAAGCUACUUUAUGACGAAAUUGUUCCACGAACGAGCGGUAGCUAACUAUGUACGAUCGCCUGGCCAACCAGUCUACCGCGGACCACUUUGCAAUUUUCUUCUACAAUAAUUUAUAGAGGCGAGUAGUCGUACUGCCGUAUGCGUUAAGAAAUCUAUCCACGAUUAUUAUCGAUAACGUUGACCGAUCGAAGCCAUGUUCGUGCGUUAACUCGGCUUGCCCACGUCUAGCGUCUCGAUAUCGCUACUACCUUGUACCGGCAAAUAAUAUCCAUUUCCGAAGAACGAUCAACGUACAAAUAAGAUGAAUACAAGAAGAAAUAAAAUUCCAUUUUGCAAGUGCGACGAAUAAUCGCAAUACACGUGUAUCGUUACUAGCACGGUGAAAAGUAUCUGGCACGCAGUUAGAUACCGAUACUUAUAUGCAAAUUCCAAUUUUAAACUUUCUUUUGACCAGAACCGGUGAACAACGGUGGUUUUUCGGUUCGUUACCAACUCCGUCACCCACGUAGCUAACGUGGAUGUAGCAUAAAGUCAUCCCGUUUCUAUAUUUAUUACACGACCCGCAGAAUUUUGCAGCGUGUUUUUGCUUUUUCAGCAGUAGAAAAGCGUAACGCGUGCAACAAAGUUGCUCUUUAUUUUUUUAAACGUUUUAAAACUGCGCAACAAAUGCCAGGGUUCGCCGAUCACGAUAAAUUAUUGAAAAUGAUUGCCGAAAUGAAACUUUUAAAACGAUACGCAACAUUUGUGGGCGUGAAGGAGAAAGCCGACUCGGGAAAACCAUGUUGCACCAUCAAACGGGGAAAAAAGGCGGGACGAAUAUACAUAUGUGACGACUUAAUGUAAACGAUUAUUUCAUAAUAAAUUAUUCCUAGAUAUCGAUUUUCAGCGAAAGAAAACAAAAUGAUAUUCGCGGAUAUACGCGUGCAUCUAUAAUAUUUUUUAUACAAUUUAUAUCUUUAUAUCUUUGCAUCUUGCAAGCAUAUGCAAUUAUAAUAGGUAUAACCGUAUAUAGUUCGUAUCAAGUACAAAAUGUUGAAUAAUCCGAUUCGAUGUUUCCGCGUUAAUCCCUUUGAUAACGCAAUAAAGAAACGUAGUUGUUACGUGUCAAGAUUUCUCGCGUAUGUGGUAUCAGAUACAGAAAGUAUGCGCGCUUAACUCUUCAUAGAAAAUAAAGCUCUGCUACAGUAUCCGAAUCGCGAAAUAUUCGGCUAGAACGACGCUCUUUGGGGGGUUUUUAAGGUCGUUGAAGCUGAAAACGAGGGUCGUUUUUCACGGAAAUAAGGCGUAAAAGAUUUCGCUGGAUCCGUCGAUGCGUGACGUCUUCGUGGAUUUUGACGAGACGCUUUUUCAAAUUUACCAUUCUCCAGCGAUCGUACGAUUUACUCUGUGUACAUCUGAAUCGUGAGUAGAGAUUUGCUUUCUUUUUUAUUUGUUUUAUUUUCGAGGAAAAUGGUUUUCAGCUUCGACGAUCCAAUAUAGGAGGACAAGUUCGACAGAAACACCUUGCAGUCCGGAUAUUACAGCGAAUCGGAAGAUAAAUAUAUAGGAUUGCGUUAAAUACGAUGACGCUUAAGGCAUAAAGUUUUCUAGCACUAUGUUUGAUGUUUUGACCGGAUAUUUUGUGGAAAAUACGCGACACACCGUGAAACGUUUACAACGUACAGAUCUCUGGUAAGUCUUGGGAGCAAUUUUAUCGGUGGAAUUUCGACUUGUCGACUUUUACAGGCAUACUAAUACGUUUGAAAACAUAUAUGUAACCACGAUUUGACAAUUUUCCACGUUUAUCGUACAAAAGCUAUAAAUGUAGAGAACUCGAUUCACAGUUUGCGGCAUUAAGUUGACGAGUUGAUAUUUGGUUGGUCUUUGGGAACAAGACGCUCGCAAAGCCAUGUUAGCCCAUCAAACAGUUACUUGUCGGCUUCGCUUCUGUUACGAACUUUGUCCACGCCUGAGUAAGUACACGCCUGACGGGAAUUCAAUUGAACUAGCUGGUAAUACAAUUUUCAAAAAGAGGUGUCGCACAAUUUUCCCGUUGGAAAACUUCUAUGUAUAAUUGACUUCGCGAACAACGACAUUUAUCACCAAGUAGCUAAUAUUAAAAACCUACGAUCGAGACUUUCGCCAACUAUAAUCGAUUUUAUUCGUCGUCCCGUCUUGUGGUUGCCUCUUCCAGAAAACUCAUAUUUCGUGAUUCAUCGAAUUUCGAUCGCGUUAUUAGUACGUUGUGUAACAAGAAUCUCACAUCUGCCCUGAAGAAGAGGACCGGAAUGUGGAGGAAACAUCGGAACCAAAUGCUUGUAUUCGCUAACAUUGAAAGCCGAAGAAUCGGAAAUACGUUAUCCGAUAAUAUUGUGAAAGUUGAAAGUCCAAAAUGAUCGUAAGUAAGGCAAACGCAUAUGCACGCACGUAAGAUAUUCCACGUUCAAAUUACGUGUGCCGUAGUAAUACAUGGCGAAUGUAAAUACAUGGAAAAUUGUACAAAGUUAUUUUGAUAUUCGGAGGAAAAAUGUUCGUUUUAUUACUAGGAAACCGACAACGAUUUUCGAUACUUCGGAUUAAAACACAUUCAGAUUAAUUGCCAUGAAAUUGUUAAUUUUGCGCAUCCAGCGUUCUGAUUGCAUUUUCCUGUUCAUCGAUGACUGAUAUCGACACAGUUUAUAUAUCACCUAAUAGUACAUAGACAUAGCGGUUAAUGAGAUAAUCGAUGCCGACAUACUGUAAUUGGAUUUUGCUGCAGGCACAUCGUCUCCAGUAAAUCCGUGCGAAUACCGAAUUUCCUUACCAAAUGUCACGCCUCUUUCUUUACAUAAAACAUACAUCGAUUUAUAAACAAGUUAACUAUAUGCGUUACGCUUUCGUUAAUUGAAUUUUUACUGUUAUUUACGUACUGUCUAUAGCUUCGAACGAUUUUUAAGAUCCACGAUGUUAUUGCAUUUAUACAUAUUACGGUGCAAAUUUUCGGUUACCCGGAAAACGAACUGCAAAUAAUUGUUAUAACAAUACAUCAUAGACAUAAAGAUACUUGUUCGUACCUUUAAUUCGAGUCCGAGGGGACGGGGGUAGCACUCAAUUUAAAACUCUAUUUAUUGGCAUAUCUCUAAAAAAUUGACGAAUCAGGCAAAAUUACGGACAAGUACGGUGUCGCGAAAGGAACAUCUAAAAAUUCCAUAAUUACGUACACAGACGUAUGUAUACGUAUAUGGAAAAAGGUACACCUGGUCGAUUUCGACGAGCUUGAUACACGCUGCCAAGACCAACAUUCUGAACAACCGCUCCAAAGAUAGUCGCAAAAAAAUUCGAUUAAAUUUUUAAACAGGUGGCCGCAUUUUUAUACAGCUCUACAUAAACUUAACUUGUCGAUGCUGAUCGUCUUUGUAAGUAUUUAUUAUUAUUAUUAUUAUUAUUAGAUAUAUCGCCAAACGUACUUUCGCGUACGGCUCUAGAACCAAAACCGUGCGCAGUUAUCGUUAGGUUGCGCGUGGACAUGGACGCGUAUACGUAUCUGCUUACUGUAUUAGCGUGUACGUGACAAACGGACAACUAAGGCAUAGCGAAGCAUUUCGUACAUCGAUAACUUGUAUUCUCUUUAAUUGAUAUUGUCGUUGAUCAUAAGCGUCGCGCGCUGAUAUGGAUUUCGCUAGGGUUUAGCGGAGAAAGCAACAGACACGCAACACGUGGAUCCAUGGAUAACCUGGUACGUAUAUCUUUCUGACAUUUACGUGUUUCUUCCUAAAAGCAUUGUCCCGAUCCAACGCGAUCUCCGGUUGCCUUCCGCCUCAAAGUGGACUCGAUAUUUGUCGUGCAACAGCAUUAUUUAAACGUUUACAGUAUGGACAUAUCAGGUGAACAGGAAUUGGCUGUCAGCCAGUUCUGCAAGCUGGUCUCUCGGUACGUACUUUCGAUGGACGUUCGGUAGAUCUUUUGGACACGUGCCAUUUCAUUAUUUUCACAAUGCCGCGAUGCCUUCGUCGUCGUCGUCGUCGUCGUCGUCGUCGUCGUCGAUAUCGUGGCACCCGAAACAUUUCAGUUUCAUUUUUUAUCUCUUUCAAAUGUACGUCGUGUAUCGCGUACGUUUUUCGAUAUUUCGAUAUUUUGAGUUGAUUUUUUACGAGACUAAUAUCGCAUAUAAAAUGACACGUACGUUAUUCGUCUUCUUUUCCGUUUAUCGUUGCAAGUGUGUUUACGAUUAAGAAGAAAUAUUCUACGAUAAAAUGUAUUCAUCUACGUAAAUUAGACGGAAUGCGUCAAAGAGAUGGAUCGAUCGUGGGUAUAAACUGUGAAUGGGAAAAUAGAGAAAAGAAAUGUUAAGUGAUUUCGUUGCUCGAAAUAUCAAAAGUCUGGUCAGAGAUAUAGGUAUUGCACGAACGGACAAAAGAUGAUUUUUUACACGAGGAUGAAACAAAAGUACCGAUAGAAAAUAGAAAUUUUUUAGAAAAAUAGCUUUUUCUACCUCUUUCGCGGCUUUUUUCGUGUUACAAGAAAAAUGACAGAAGCUUCUUGGUUACCCGAGACAUUAUCUGCUUGCCAAGUCACCUGAAACCUCUUUGUACGCAGCUUCCGUACACAACAAAAGAUAUUUUAUCGUUGUUUAGAGAGGUCUAUAACAAUCUCCGUAACAACGUCGAUCCAUUACAACAGCAACGUACGCUUGCGUCGAAUUUCACGAAGGAUACGUUGGCGAUAUAGCGAUAUACGUAAUACGAAAAGAUGUACAAAAUAUGUGCAAAACCAAAAUACUCGUUACAACGGUUAAAGGAUUUCUAUGAUUGAUCGCGAAACGAUGAAAAUCAAUUACCAACGUAGGUAUCGAAGACAAACGCUACGUAUUAGGUUUGGAGCAGCAGAAAAGGAAGAAAGACUUUCCGAAUCGUUAAAUAUGCACGACUUUAAGGAUUCAACGCGACUGGCCCUUACCUACGAGGUAUUAUCCUGAAUAAAUAACACGCACUUGAAACAGGUAUCGGAGAAAAAACAAGCUUAAAUUUCGAAAGCUUUAACGUUUCAAAGGUUAAGGGUUAAAGGCGUAGAUCGAACGAUUCGCUCGUUUCACGAAACACUGCUUCGAAGAACGAAACAAACGUUGCGUAAUACCUUAGACUAUGAUAAAAUACGACCGUGUCGAAAAUCAUAACGCACAGGUCGGUACGACGCGCCGUGACCUACAAUGUAUUAGACUAUCGAACGAAAAUCACGGUGUUCCUCGCGGUGAAUCCCGGGGGGAAUAUCGUCGGAUAUCGAAUCCGGUGCUGGUCGGACGUCGACCAUGGAAACCGAUUGGUUAGAACGUACUUGGCAGCGAUGGUAAAUAUCCCUGUCUCUGUAUUCUGUUGCUCAAAGUUCGUUGAGAAACGUUCGCGAGUAAACUUUGUCGGACGACCGAUGUUCGAAACGAUUAUCCGUUAAUUGAUAUUUGAUUCCAGUGCGACGGUAAGGCAGCUUUGAUGGUAACGGGAUAACUUUAAUAACGGCGUGCUCGCUAUUUUACGUGAUUCGCGUCUUAGCUACGCCGCGUUAUUUCCAUCGUCUUCGAUUCGAUCGUGCUUCUCGACCCUUCGAUUUUACGCCAAAGUUUUCUUAAAACGUUAAAAGCGUCUUUUUGCCCGCUGAAAUAAGAGUCAGAUCGGGCCGUACAGACCGGAGAAUCGCAGCAGAGUGAAACUUUGGAAGCUGAUAUCGCGUAAAAACAAGCAUGGAAAGCGUUAGAAGCAACUUGACCAAUUACGAAUUAAUGAUGGCAAAGCGAGGAUGCGACGAUAGAGAGAAAGCCUCGCUGAAAUCAGUCGAAUUUCGAACGACGAUUCAAGCGAUUUGAAUUCUAGGAAAUUAGCUAACAAAGUAUAGAAAUUCGAAAGGAUAUUUCAAGCGAUGAUAUUUAUCGUUUACCGGACAUCUUCGAAUCACCAACGAGAUGCAUAUUUGAAAUUCGUCGCUCUUCGCUCUUUGAUUUUAACAAUAAAAAUGAAUUUGCGUAAGAGUCAAAACGAAUAAGUAUUCUAUCGUUACGUAACUUGGACGGAACAAUGAUCGCGCGAAUUCUAUAGGAUGUUUCUAAACCGAUGAUAUAACCCGAGCAAACACGAUAAAGACGAAUUCUGUGACUUUAUUUUUGAUAUAUCGUCGUUGAAACACUCGUCGAUUUACGUUUCUGAUUUCCUCUCGUCCGCUUGGCUCGUCCUUAGCGGCACCGUCCGUUCUCAAACGCUUAGUCAAGGAACUUUAUCCAUUGAAACAUUAGCGAAUACGGAAAACCUAUAAAGACCGCGAAAGGAACGUGGCAAGAUUUAUCGGCAUCCAACAUCGGGUGAAAUAUUCGUCAAACUACCGUAAGCUAAACUUUGCUAUCGUAAACUAAAUAUUAAUUCGACUAUUUGCGUAUAUCUAAUUUACGUAAUGGUACGUUGCCGAAUUCGUGUCAGCGAAACUUUGUUGGAGUUUGAAAGACUAUAUAUUUCUCUAAAGAAUCCAGAAUGACAGGAGAAAAGAAGUCGAGGCUAAAAAUAUCGUUAUCUUUGGAAGCCGCAACGCCUCUGAAUUCUUUAGCUACAGGAUUUUCCAUUUAGGACGAAAGGAUCGUGUAUCCGAAAUCGAUAAUAACCGCACCGCGAAGAAGAACUCGACGUAAGAAAGAGGCAAAGUAUCGGUCUUUCUUUAGGUUUCUAUUUUGAUCCGCGCCCAGAUUCCAAUUGGAUUCCCAAGUUCAAUCGAAUUACGAUAUCUUCUCGUUUACGUAUGAAUUUCUAGAGGAACGUUAGUGCCGAACACGUUGGUCGAGCUUUCGCUAAGAGAAACGGCAUAAAGAAUCGAAGAAGAAGAAGAAGAAGACCGUGUUACGAGUUUGUACAACUAUGUACGAACUUUGUCGCAAUACGUACGAGUAAUUCGUUUUUACUCGUUAGCGGUAUGUUCAACUCGCGCCACACUGACUCUGCAGUUUCGUACUGUUAUACGCCGGAUAAAGCGCAACGUUGUUACCGGGUUUUUCGAAAUCUUACAAUCUUUCGAAUUUUAAAGAUUCGGACACACGUUGAACCAUCGAUGACGUUCGCUUUCCACCAUUCUCGCGAUACGAAUAACGAUAUCCUCCUGAAUUCGCUCAUCGUUCGAACAUGCAACGAGUCAAAGUGGAACACUUAGGACGAGCCGGUUUAAUAUAAUUUUGAUUUCUCCGUAGGCCAGAUUCGUUAUGGCAUUCGAAUAACGGACGUUAAUUUUAAAAGCGUGUACGGAUACCCGAUAAGGAGAAUAACGUCUAUCGGUUAUUCCGUCAGGUAUUCCGUCAGAUCCGUCAGAUCGAACCUGAGCUUGCUCGCUAUUUGCCGAAUAAUCUCGGGAAUAGCCUUUGCCGAUCCAACGAGAAAGGAAAGUUUCAUUUACAUGGAUAAUUGCAUAACUUAAUAUUUCGUUAGGUUCGCCGUGUAUGCUAGGUGCGAAGCUGCCAUCCGAGAUAUACGAUAUACCGUAUUCGUCUCUCGUUUCGAGUUAGGACGACGCGGCGCGACGUAGAAUAUUUAUGGUGUUCCGAGUUGACGGCAGGUCUUCGUCGUUUGCCAGAGGGACACGGCGCGGCGCACCAUGAAUAUUUAGAAAAUUAAAUCGGCCAACUUGGUCGUCCCCUUUCGUUCGUUCGCCGCGCCUAUGUUUCCCAACUUCCGAGUAAUCGUAACUUUGUUUUAAUAGAUCGUUAAAUGCGCGAAAUUACGUCGCUCGCAAUGAGCAACCGUUUCGACCGGCCAUUCCGUUUCCAGAGAGAAACUCGAACGAUUCGCUCUACGAUCUACGAUCCGCAACAAAGAGAUUUCCUCUGGGUCUAAGGCUGAAACUAGCAGAUAGCUCGGCGAUGGAUUCGAUCGGCUCUCGGCCGUUCACAAUGGAACGAUUCGCAUCGAGAAUUUACAUCGUCCUGCAUAUUUAUACGAUCGCAGAUUAAAACCGCGCAGAGAAUCAAAGAGAUUCAAAAUAUAACUUGCCUCUUGCUUCCAUGGAACAGCUUCGAUUUCCUUGCUUCCAGAACCUACGAAGAAAGCGGCUUUGUUCGACGAUUUGAUUUUCCGGCUGAAUAACGAGAUAUAGUUGUCGAGUGUUUUAAAUAAACUCGUCGAGAACGUUGGAUAUUUAAAUAACGGAUUCGGGUAUAUCGACGAUUCUUUUUUCAAGAUAUCGAUGCGGAAAAACGUAGGUAAAUCCGCGUUGCCUUAGAACGUCCUAUAAAAAUGCAACGACGAUCUUAGAAGAAAUGGAAGAGGCGUACUUUUUAACAAUAACUAGGAAAUCAACAAUAACUAGGAAUGUCGACGAAAAUUUCUUAUCGUACGAAGUGAUAAAUUUAUGGAAACGUUUGUUCGAUCGCCGCACGGUAAAAGCUUUACGAAUCAAUUACGUAUUUAUUAUAUCGUUUAACCGUUGAACGAAAGUAACUGAAACAAGGUAAUUGAAAUUGGAUAUUUUUUUAAGGCAACGGAUUUUACUUGCUCUUUAGAUUAAUGUUUCAUCGAAGAAGGAAUAAUAGCAGGUCUUUAUUACCUAGCUAGGUCACGCUAUCGAUAUAGGUAUGUAUUUUGCAACUACUUGUUGCUUUCCAACGAAAUGGCUGUCGUCUACCAACGUCUAACUAACGUUGUAUAAUAGGCGGUACCAUAAUACAUCGUUGUACGUACUAUGAAAGCGAAGGUUAAACGAUUAAACCGUUUUCUCGACAACGUAGUUAGAAGAAAGAUGCCAACCACUUUGUCCUAGAAAGUUGUCUACCUUGGGUCCUCGUGUACGACACAAUCGACUUUACAAAUUUUCAAAGCAAAUCUUUAUUAAUCUAUAAUCUAUAAUCAUCGUCCGCUUUGGCAAAAAGUUACAGUUUGAAAAAAAGCUGGCUCAACUUUAGCCACCGGCUUUACGUUUCUUUUCCAAUCGAUUCAACGAGAGACAGCUUUCCUAUUACGAAAUUUCCCGACGUUAUUCCAGUAACCGCAACCGUGUUUUCAUCUCACAAGAACUGCAAAAUGCAAUCUCACCCAUUGCAAAUACAACUAUGUAGUUUAUUCGUUGCCUCUGGUGUCUUGUUGCUUUAUAAGCUCAUACGGCGCGGCGCGACGUCAUGAAAAUCGAAGGCAUCGCGGAACUACCUGGUAAUACACCUUUGCCACGUUUCACCAACCAAAACGUAUCCUCGAUUUGUUCCCAAGGUUUUCACAUUUUCACCGCCACAGAAACGACCGAUCGAAACCAAGCGCAGAUACCUACGUGUCGCUUAACAACUUUUUCCUCCCGCGUAAUAAACAACGAUUAAUAAAUUGACCGUUGGAUGGACGAUGGACGUUCGAUAGAACCGUAUCGAUUCUACCGCACUCGCGAACAAGAUAUCGACGCGAUAUCGUCGCAUCUGCAACGCUUUGUGCGACAUAUUUUGCGUACAUUGUCGUUGAACGGAAGAUAUCUGGUACGUAAAUUCGGGCAAAGAUCCAAAGAGAAUGCGCUCGAUCCAUCUAGUUCGUUAGCACGUACGAUACCCGAAAGGAGUGCGAAUCCGGUAGAAAUCGACUAUCUAGACGGAUACGAUGGGGGAUGAAACAACAUUUUUAUCGAAAAAUAAAAUUGUACAAGAAUUAGGGAUACCGGAAAUCGAGUCUCGUAACGUAACUCGUGGCGCAACUAGGAACAGGGUGAUUCUACAUUCCACGUAGAUAUUCGUCAAGUCCAUCUUUGGUAUUUAAAAUCAAUGUCGUGGAAAAGGAAGCAAAAGAAAGAAAAUUUUACACUGCGACGUAUUCCUCCUGACGUUGAAACCUCGUGUAGACUCUCGAUU